UCCGUAGGUGAACCUGCGGAGGGAUCAUUACCGAGUUUACAACUCCCAAACCCCAUGUGAACAUACCUGUUUCGUUCCCUCGGCGGUGUCCGGCAACGGCCCGCCAGAGGACCCAACAAACUCUUUUGAAUUUUUCAGUAUCUUCUGAGUAAAAAACAAAUAAAUCAAAACUUUCAACAACGGAUCUCUUGGUUCUGGCAUCGAUGAAGAACGCAGCGAAAUGCGAUAAGUAAUGUGAAUUGCAGAAUUCAGUGAAUCAUCGAAUCUUUGAACGCACAUUGCGCCCGCCAGUAUUCUGGCGGGCAUGCCUGUUCGAGCGUCAUUUCAACCCUCAAGCUCAGCUUGGUGUUGGGGAUCGGCAAGGCGUCCUCCGGGUCGCGCCGUCCCCCAAAUUUAGUGGCGGUCUCGCUGUAGCUUCCUCUGCGUAGUAAUACACCUCGCUCUGGAGUCUCGGUGCGGCCACGCCGUAAAACCCCCAACUUUUUCUGGUUGACCUCGAAUCAGGUAGGACUACCCGCUGAACUUAAGCAUAUCAAUAAGGCGGA
rnacentral:rRNA from 1 species